UGGACGUCAAGCGCGCCCUUCGGGGUGAGCGGCGGACGGGUUAGUAACGCGUGGGAACGUGCCCUUUGGUACGGAAUAGCCUCUGGAAACGGAGAGUAAUACCGUAUGAGCCCUUCGGGGGAAAGAUUUAUCGCCAAAGGAUCGGCCCGCGUUAGAUUAGGUAGUUGGUGGGGUAAUGGCCUACCAAGCCUACGAUCUAUAGCUGGUUUUAGAGGAUGAUCAGCAACACUGGGACUGAGACACGGCCCAGACUCCUACGGGAGGCAGCAGUGGGGAAUCUUGGACAAUGGGGGCAACCCUGAUCCAGCCAUGCCGCGUGAGUGAUGAAGGCCUUAGGGUCGUAAAGCUCUUUCGCCUGUGAAGAUAAUGACGGUAGCAGGUAAAGAAACCCCGGCUAACUCCGUGCCAGCAGCCGCGGUAAUACGGAGGGGGUUAGCGUUGUUCGGAAUUACUGGGCGUAAAGCGCACGUAGGCGGACCAAAAAGUUGGGGGUGAAAUCCCGGGGCUCAACCCCGGAACUGCCUCCAAAACUGUUGGUCUAGAGUUCGAGAGAGGUGAGUGGAAUUCCGAGUGUAGAGGUGAAAUUCGUAGAUAUUCGGAGGAACACCAGUGGCGAAGGCGGCUCACUGGCUCGAUACUGACGCUGAGGUGCGAAAGUGUGGGGAGCAAACAGGAUUAGAUACCCUGGUAGUCCACACCGUAAACGAUGAAUGCCAGUCGUCGGGUAGCAUGCUACUCGGUGACACACCUAACGGAUUAAGCAUUCCGCCUGGGGAGUACGGUCGCAAGAUUAAAACUCAAAUGAAUUGACGG
rnacentral:rRNA from 1 species